rnacentral:tRNA from 1 species
GCGAGAGUAAGUCAAUGGUUUGGCUACUUGGGUCAUUUCCAAGUUGUGCACGAGGUUCGAUUCCUCCUCUCGCU